GACACAACUUCUUCAUGUCUUCUCUUGCCUUCUUAUUAUCUUUAAUUUUUCUCUCAAUAUUCAGAACAGUGUUAAGAACAUUUUCAAACACAUUCUUCUCAAUUUGCAUCACAUCUAGGUUAUGUCUAAUGAGUUUGGAACUCAGUAUGGCAAAUCUCAAAAGAUACUUCUUUUCUUCUAACCGCACUCCUUGCAAAUGGGACCAUUAAUCUCUUUAGCAUCAAGUUUAUUUACUCUCCUAAGUCCUAAAUCAUCUAUCUCUUGCAAGAUUUGAUCACUUAUCCUUAUAGUUGGUGCCGGUGAUAUCUCCUUUCUAUUUUUCAGGAGCCAAUUUUUAUUCCAUCUGAAAGGAAGAUCAAGGGGAAGAAACUUAUGAUGAUUGUCUAACCAAGAUGUCUUUCAACCAUUUUUUUCAAACUAAAUGCUUGCGAAUGUCCUAUACAAUAAGGACAUGCAAGUUCCCAGCCAUGCUGUAGCCUAACAACAUUGAGUAUGUAGGAAAAUGACUUAUGGUCCACAUAAGAGCUGCUCUCAUUUGAAUAUUCUACUAUCUAGACACAUCACAUGUUUGGACACCCACAUCCCAAAGAUACUUCAAUUCAUCAAUCAAAUGUGGAAGAAAACAUUCAUCUCGUUUUUAGGAUUAGUUGGCCCAUGAAUAAUUACAGAUAAGAACAUGUAUGCCUCUUUCAUACAUACCACAGAGGUAAAUUCAUGGCUAAUCUUGCCAUCAGCAUUAAGCCUAGUAAUAAUAAAAAAAAAUAACAAUAAAUAAAAUUACUUAUUUACACCAAUGACUAAAUAACAUGCUUAUGCAUUUAGUUACAAUAUUAAAAUUAAAAAUAAAAAAAAUAUUAAUCUGCCUAUUAAUAGGGUUGGUAUUUGGUAAACCAAUCAUUAACAAUAUAAACCUGCCUACCAAUAUAAGUAAUUAAGUUUCACCGAUCAUCCAAUACAAUCUAGGAGUCAAAGAUGAUCAACCAAAAAAAAUGCCUCAAUAGGUUAACAAAAAAAACAUUAUUAAGCUAAAAUGAAAAAACUUUAUUAUAAUCUAUCUACCAAUAAUCAAUAAGGUGGAAAGUUACUUGCCCAUAUCAUCAGUUUCUAAAGAUUCAUUAACAUAACUAUUAAAAAAGAAAGAAAGAAAAAGAGCCCAAUUUAUAUUUCUUGCCUCCCUACUAAUAGUGAUAAUAAUAAUAAUAAAAUAAAAUAAUAAUAAUAAUAAUAAUAAUAAUAAUAAAUAAAGAAAUAAGAUUUGAGGAAUUUAUUGCUCGAAGUCAACCAUCUCUACCAUCCUUCUCUUUCGUCGUUCUCUCCUAAAUUGUUACAUUCAAGAUCAACAAUAACCAAAUUAAUUUUAUUUUUUAAGAAAUUAAACGAGAGUUGUUGACCAAUCAACUCAUAUCUAGUCCUUGAUAUGACUUUAGUUUAUUCAUCUUUCUUUAUUUUAUUUUUCAUAUUUAGCUUCUAGUUUCUUCUUCUUAUGGAAUGAGUGCUUUCACGCUAUAAAAACUACAUGCAACUGAAUACUUGAGGCUAGUAAG
rnacentral:lncRNA from 1 species